UUAGUCUCUAUGGGCCAGAUGCUCAGUUGGUGAGGGCCACAGCAAGGGGAAAUAAACUGUUCAUAUGGGGGUCUAUAACAUCUAAUCACAGCAGCUGACAGUUGCAACUUCAUUGCUAAUAACUGCCUUAUUUAUCAUCUCUGUACAGAUGUAGGAUCUGAAGUUGAUCACCCUGUUACAGGGAAACUGAAACGUGUACUGUAUUUGAGUGUAUUUAAGCUUUAAAAAGGAUUUCUGAAGAUGAUAAAUUCCACUUUUCCAUUUUAAAAUUGUUCAUUAAUUAUAAUCAAAUAAUUCAAAUGUCCUGUUUCUGCAGGAUUAUUUUCCUGCUGUAGCAAACUGGCUCAAAUUAAGACCCAACAUCUGUAGCACUAAUACCUCUCUCUAAUGUAUAUGACUAUAUCAGGAUUCACUUUUGACCUUUUAUUUACUGUUGUUUAGGCUGGUUGAAUGAGUUGCCUGUGAAAGCUACUUCAUCUGCAAGAAAGCACCAGUGACUGGGUCAGUACUCUAAAAUGAGUGUCUCUGGGGAGAGAGAGGAGGGGGGCCCUGCCUCUAAAAUUAAACUCUCUGGGGAACAUGACACCAAAGCUAAGAGUGCAAUCAAUAAGGAGAGACCAGCCUCCCCUGUACCCAGCUGUGUGUCCAUGAAGAGUGACUGUUCUAUGCAACAACCUAUAUUGUUUAGAGAGGGAGACUUUUCUACUGAACAAAGAAACCAACAGGAGAGAUCAGAGUCAGAGAUUCUCAGUGAU